ACACUUCGACCCCGAAAACCCUCGACGCCGCCGUCUCUAGCCAUGGCGCUCUUCGCCGCCGCCGCCCGCCGCGCCGCCACAUCCUCCCUCCCCCUGCUCCGUGCCUCCGUAUCACACGGCGGCAUUACCCUGCCCCGGGCUCUGGCCGGCGCCGCGGCGCGGCCGAUGCCCUUCUCGUCGGCGACCGGGGUGAAGCCGAGCUCCGGUGACGAUCUCCCCCCGCGUCAUCAAGUCCGAGACCAACCUGGCCGAGCAAUGCGACGACCACGACCCGGACGACAAGAAUUCCGUGUCAUCUUCACACGAGUCCUCGCCAUCUGUGGAUGAGUCUUCAUCAUCUUCAGUUAGGAAUCAAGAAGACGAAGGCGAGAACCGCCCAAAAGAACACGGCCGUCGUCUGACGUGGUUCUACGAGAUGGGUGAUGACUCGAGCGUGAAAUUCUCCUGCAUCGUAUAUCCAGCAUAGCACAAGAUCGUCGUCAAAGCCUUAGCCCUGAGGCCGCCACCACCAUUUGAUCAGGAGUCGGAUGAAGAGGUUGAUUCUACUGAAUCCGAAGAGGUUGAUUCUACUGAAUCCCCUGAGGUUGCUUUUAGUGAAUCCGAAGAGGUUGUUGAGUUCAGCAAGCUGGAUGUGAAACUGCAGCUUGCACUGUACAAGCUUGUGAAGGCGCUGGGUUAUGAUACUCCCGGGGUCACAGAAGUGUUGCAGGAGCCCACGAUGAGCAAAGACCGGCCCCGGCUUCUCUUCUGGGAGACCGAGCUGUGGGAUUUCCUCAACAAAGAUGCAAUGGUACUUGUUUACUACCUAUGUAUUACAAAUGUUGCUUUUAAGUUUUGGACAACUUAUUGUUGAAAGCUUAGUUUAUGGGGCUAACUUCACAAAUUGUUCUGGCAUGGUAUCUAAUUAAUGAAUUGGCAUAGUUUAGUGUAAAAUGGUGCACCCACGUUGUGGGAGGAAAAACAUGACGGUUAGAAAAUAAUUGGGUUGCCUGGCCUAUUUGGCACACUUUCCUAAUUUCAAAUUUACUGUGAACAAGUUCCUAUUGAUUUUAGGAGUGUUGGGUUGUUGUCCAGGACAUCAUCUAAAUUUACUGGGAGCAAGUUUCCUGUUCAUGUUAAAGUGUCGCGUUGUUGUUCAGAACCUCAUUUUCCCCAUCUAAAACAGGGUGCGUCCCGCCGAGCCCCCCAUCCGAAUCCUCAUUAGUGUUGCUGUUGUCCAUCUAUCGUUGGCUUGCAGCCAGAAUCCUUUUGUGAUGUUCUCAGAGGGAGCUAAUUGAGUGAUCCAUUGCCGUGAGGUGGCUGAGCUUUCGAUUGGGAUUACCCUGUAGUGGUAGAAAUGGUGAUGUAUAUGAUACUCUCCAUUCAAAAGUGUUUUUUUAGGGGAAAAGCUUCCCCUCAGCCGGCGGAUCGCACACAAAGCGUCCGUCGCCUUGUACGCCCACCACGUGCUAUGCUAGGCUGCAACCUUAUCCCUUUGUCUCUGCCUUCAGCCGGCGGAUCGCACAGUAAACAGUUCCCUCAACAUGAUCUUUGUUG